GCUGGCAGCCAUAUCACCCUGUAGCCCAAGACUGGUCACCCACUGAAGCCAAGUAGGGUUGAGCCUGGUCAGUACCUGGAUGGGAGACCUCCUGGGAAAACUAGGUUGCUGCUGGAA
rnacentral:rRNA from 1 species